GGACUCGGCUUGCUGAAAGUGCACUCGGCAAGAGGCGAGAGG
rfam:HIV-1 isolate 98BWMO18.d5 from Botswana, complete genome.